GGUCCCGUAGUUCUCCCGAUAGCUAUCGGGAGGAUAGAAUAGAAGUUUCCUAAACUUUUGAUACAGGUUCGAUUCCUGUCGGGACUACCA
rnacentral:tRNA from 1 species